rnacentral:tRNA from 2 species
CCCUGGUUAGCUCAGCUGGUUGAGCGCUCCACUGCAAAAGGAGGUCCCUGGUUCGAAACUAGGACCAGGCU